GCACAGACACUAAAAUUGGAAUGAUACAGAAGAGAAUCACACAGCCCCUGUGGAAAGGAUGAGAUGCAAAUUUUGCGAAGCAUUCCAUAUUUUA
rnacentral:snRNA from 1 species